UUCGUUACGUAUCCACUUAAUGCCACCUCGUAAUUAGCGCUAACAUCCCAUGGUGAGAGGCCGUCCGCUGGGAGACCUAGCCCCAUUCUGCGCUCACCCGAUCCCAUCCGUCGCUGGCCACCAGGGAGAGGAGCUUCCGCUUGAGCGCCUGCGUCCCAGAUCCGGAGCCCGCCGGAUCUCCUCGCCUCACCGCCGUCCCGCGCGCCACCGGGGAGCACGCCGGCGAGCGUCGUUGCCCUUCCGCCACCGGCCUAGGUGAUCCAUGGCUCACGGACGGAUCAGGAGCGCCGCCUGGCGUGUACGAUUAGGCUGGUAAGGGACCGAGCCAAGGAGCGGAGUCAGGUUGGGAGGGCUAGUGGGCUGCGGGAGCAGGGGAGGGCGGGACGACCGGUAGCGCCGCUUGUUCGGGAAUGCUUUAAUCUGGUGAUGCUAGAGCACGUGCACAUGGGGGACACGCCGUAGACCACCACCACCUUGUGAUUGAGUGCAUCAAUGGGAGAUGGCCCAUGGAGGGUUGGUCACGGCACUCACAAUGAAUGCAAAGGGCGGCAACGAACUCCUUUCGCAGCUCGGCACUCGGCAGUGCCAUCGGACAAAGCAUGGUUCAGUCAUUUUUAACUUCUAUGGUGGAAACGAUUUGAGAAUUAAUUGGAGGAAUGUCUCAGAAUUGUUUUAGAAUCUUGAAAGGAUCAAGAGCGGAUGGUCAGAGGUAAUGCAUCAUUUGCUCUUGGUCAGUUUGCUGAAAACGUGCAAACAGAAAUUCGACCUCUCUAUGAGAGUGUAGUUCCGUGCAUCUUAAAUGCAGUUGAAGACCCAUCAGAUGGGGUUACCCAUCAGAUGGGGUUAAGGUAAAAUAGGGAGAGACUUUGGAUAUAAAUAUUGGUUAAUUUUGCAUGACAACUCCGUGGUAAUUAUGUAAUGCGAAUAAUCAAUAUGGUUUUGUAGGAGAUAUCAUAUUAUGCAUUGGUGGUUUUCUAUGAAGACAUGGGUGAAGAUAUCCUACCAUAUCUGGAACCUUUGAUAUGCAGAUUACUUAUGUCUUUGCAGGUUCAGUCCUCAAAAUUCUGUUGACACUGACGCAGGGCAGCCUAAUAAGGAAGAAAAGAUUAGAAAUGACAUGCCAUGGCAGCCAUAGUGAGCUGUGAUGUUUCCAAUAUGAAGGCCAAAUAGAAGGGAGGAGAUAACAAUCAGAUCGAUUCCAAUAUGUGAACUUCCAAACAUGGGUGAAGGGAGGAGAUAACAACGUUGGCAUUGGCUACUUGGCUCUAUUGGUUUGAUGUUGCAGAUUUAUUAGUUGUCAAUGAUCACCCACACAUAACAAUCGGACUCGAUUCCGAUAGCAAGCGCGCCCGAGCGUUGUUCGUCCACCUCCAACAGCUUUUGCUUGUUUCACCUUAGCCUUCAUAGUCCCUCAAGGAAAUUAUCACUGAACUUUGACAAUGGCAUCUUCUCACUUUUGUGAACCACACUUGAUUAUCUCUUAGUAAUAGUUCUUUACUAAAUUUUGUUGAUACAUAAAUGGUUCUUUACUAAACAAUACUUGUAUGUGUCUGUGUAUGGA